AAAUAAUACACCAAAAUAUGUUUACCAGCUAAGAUAAUUAUGUUGCGUGAUAAAUGAUACUGAAAUGUUUAACAUUGUAACUACUUAAAUAACGUUAGAGCCAUGACGGCUUUGCUUUUGGAUGAAGUCAAAUCAUCUCCGAGGCCUGAAAACACGUCACAACAUCAACAAAAUGAGCUAACUGACGCCACAGGCUAACGAAGUGCGGGCUAACGUUGGCCAAUAACGCUGACUAGCCUGAGUGCUAUGCUAACAACAACUGCCACAGACGGCGCAUUGUUUUCCAUUAUUUCAAGGAGCUAAUUUCAUAAAAUGUUCAGCCAGCCAACCGUUCAAAAUCGUUAAGUUUAUACCGAGACGCAAAUUAUUGUGUAUUCGCCGUUUCCACCGCCAGCUGCGUUGGCAUAGCUCGGCUAGCUAACACCGUGCCAGCAGCAGCGGGCCUCUCACCUGUGUCGCUACGGUCGCCACGAGUUUGAAGACAGAGUUUUCCACCUCGGCUUCGUUGGGCUCCGGUACCGUUUCGCCUGAGCUCUGGGACGUCUCUGGACGGAUACGUUUGCACGCCAGCAACAAAGCGUCUGCGGGAUCGGUCCCCCUUUUUCUCUUGACUCGCAGAAUCGUCGUGUUUGGAUCCAUGUCGUCCCUCUGUCUGAGUUGGUCUGGUUUGUCUGGAUCACUUGGAGAGCUCUCAACUCCGCCUUUAUUUCCGGGUGCCACAAACGUCACUGCACGGAUAUACUUGGAGCGGCGCAGGCCGGGAGUGUGUUCAACAUGUCAGCUGCCACCUGUCUGCUGUCUGAAGAACACUUUCUGUGCUCCAUCUGCUUUGAUGUGGUCACCACUCCUGUCACCAUACCGUGUGACACAACGUCUGCAAAAACUGCAUCACUGAAAACUGGAGAAUUAACAGUAAAUACCAGUGCCCAGUGUGCAAAAAAGCGUUUUGACCAAUUACCUGAGUUGCGUGUCAAUACUUUCGUAUCUGAAAUGGCUGCCCAGUUCAGACAGUCAGCUGUAAAGAAAGCCUCUGAGAUUGCCCAACCAGGAGAGGUUCCCUGUGACGUCUGCACCGGGAUCAAACUGAAGGCCAUGAAGUCCUGCCUGGUGUGUCUGACGUGGUACUGUGAGACUCAACUGGAGUGACAUCACACAGUUUCUGGCCUAAAAAAGGCAUAAACUCAUUGAGCCUCUUGAAAACCUAGAAAACAGGAUGUGUACACAGCAUAAUGAACUGAUUGAGGUGUUUUGUUCUGAGUCAGACCAUGAGUCGCAUGACGUCGUUCCUCUUAAAUGAAAAUUCGAAAGAAAGAAGACAGAAAUGAGGAAGACAGAAGCAGAACUUCAGCAGAUGAUCCAGGGUAGACAGUGCUACCCUGUGCUUCAAGCUGAGCUACAGAGGGUGCAACAGUAUGCUGUGGAUGUGGCUCUUGAUCCUGACACAGCACAUCCUAAACUCGUUCUGUCUGAUGAUGAGAGACAAGUAAAUCACAGUGGUGUGGAGAGGAAUGUCCCACACCAUCCCGAGAGAUUUCAUAUUGUGUCAUUGUCUUGGGAAAGCAGAGUUUCUCUUCUGGCAGAUUCUACUAUGAGGUCGAGGUUAAAGGGAAAACUAAGUGGGUUUUAGGAGUGGUCAGUGUGUCGGCCAACAGAGAAGGACCAAUCAUAUCAAGCCCGGAGGCUGGUUACUGGUCUCUGCAGCUGAGGAAUGGAAAUGAGUACGUGGCUCUCACCGACCCUGAUGUCGUCCUCUCUCUGAAAUCGCAGCCUCAGAAGGUGGGAGUGUUAGUGGAUUAUGAGGAAGGUCUGGUCUCCUUUUAUGACGUUGAUGCCUUUUAAGACAUGAUCUACUCCUUCACUGGUAUCUCCUUCACCGAAAAACUCUACCCGUUCCUCAGUCCCUGUUUCAACGACGGUGGUGACAUUUCUGCUCCUCUCAGAAUCUCUGUUGUCCGUAAGACGAAUUGAAUCAGUCUUUUUUCUUUUUCCAGAAAUGAUUUCCUGUCAUUUAAGUCAGUUGUUCCCAACGACACAUCCUCACUGCCCCAUGAGCUAAACUUCGGUAUACCUCAUCAGCACCACCCAUCAUGUUCCAAAUGUGUUAAUUUCAUUUGGUUUUAAACUGGAUGUUAUUUAACACUAUUAACUGUAAAUGGGGAUAUUGUUUUUUAUUGAUUUCUUUCAUACAAUCAUCAGUGUUUUGGUUGGUUUGGUCAAGUUUGCAUUUGUACUACUAGUGGCAGAAUCAACAUUUUACCAAUUUAUCCAUUAGCUACUUUUAGCUAACCAUUUCACCCAUUUAUCCAUUACUUAGCAUGUUGCUAUGGCAACCGGCAGUGCCUGUAGAAGCAGCAGCCGGUAGCUCCUUCAAACUUUGCCACACUUUUGUUUUUAUCUGUUUUUUUCCACCUCGCUUGUCAAAACACGUGUUACCUCUGACAUAAAUACAGUCAUUGGAAGAUGAAGACGGGAUUAAAGAGCAGCGGACCACAAUCCACCCGGGCCACACAGCCGGACCAGGCACCACGGCGGGUGCGAUGAUCACUCAGAGGAGAGGAAAGAGCCAGGAAAGGAGCCAUGCUGGCCCAGUUUGGACUUGAUUCUGCUCCUAAAGAUCCGGUCUAGACAAAAUGGGACUCAUAUUGACCAGACAAUGGAAUUCAUAUCAUUACAGAGACCUGUCCCAUCAACAUCCACAGGUGGUCAGAUGAUCAAGCGCUCGGCAGGUGGUCCAUGUUCUGAGCUGUCGGCGCAAGACUCCGGCAAGAUGAGAGGAGGUGAACUCACUUACAUUGAUGAUGCUUAGUGCACAAACGCAGUCAAGAUGGACUCUGUUUCCUAAAUGUUAGACUGUUUAUUGUGGAGAUAAAACCUUUAUAUUAUCA